GAUGAACGCUGGCGGCGUGCCUAAUACAUGCCAGUCGAGCGAACGGACGAGAAGCUUGCUUCUCUGAUGUUAGCGGCGGACGGGUGAGUAACACGUGGAUAACCUACCUAUAAGACUGGGAUAACUUCGGGAAACCGUAGCUAAUACCGGAUAAUAUUUUGAACCGCAUGGUUCAAAAGUGAAAGACGGUCUUGCUGUCACUUAUAGAUGGAUCCGCGCUGCAUUAGCUAGUUGGUAAGGUAACGGCUUACCAAGGCAACGAUGCAUAGCCGACCUGAGAGGGUGAUCGGCCACACUGGAACUGAGACACGGUCCAGACUCCUACGGGAGGCAGCAGUAGGGAAUCUUCCGCAAUGGGCGAAAGCCUGACGGAGCAACGCCGCGUGAGUGAUGAAGGUCUUCGGAUCGUAAAACUCUGUUAUUAGGGAAGAACAUAUGUGUAAGUAACUGUGCACAUCUUGACGGUACCUAAUCAGAAAGACACGGCUAACUACGUG
rnacentral:rRNA from 1 species